UAUAUACAUACACACAACGGACAGGACGGCCGUGUUGUGUGGAUGAUGAUGGAGGAGGAGCGAUAAGAUCCGUCCACAAGCAGCGGGACUGUAGAAUAUAAACACCCAUCACCGACGCCACCAUCGGGCUCGUCCUCACUACGAUCCGGUGUGAGCUGCAGAAUAUAAUGCACCUUUAACUGACAGCGAUGUUGCAUUCAGCCUUCAUGAGGAGAUCCAGCUGAAGAACCGGGACUGCAGAUCAUAAACUCAGAGCUGCAGGAGGAAGGAGUGGAAGGAAACCAUCGCUGGAGAUGGACUGCAGGCGUAAAUAACAAUGACUCCCGUCCUGGCUGUUUGAACAUGCUGCUCGGGUAGCGAAGCCGAGCCGAGAGGAGCGUCGACCCGCUUUACACUCCGGACACACAAACACACGGAGUCGGCCCCAAUUCAAGCACAACCAUGCUGAUCAAGGAGUAUCGCAUCCCCAUGCCCAUGAGCGUGGAGGAGUACCGCAUCGCUCAGCUCUACAUGAUCCAG